GACGAACGCUGGCGGCGUGCCUAACACAUGCAAGUCGAACGGAGACUUUAAGAACGAGAAUUUCGGUUCAAGUUUUUAAAGUCUUAGUGGCGACGGGUGAGUAACGCGUGAGCAAUCUGCCUUUCAGAGGGGGGAUAACACUCUGAAAAGAGUGCUAAUACCGCAUAAUGUGCCAUGGUGGCAUCACCGAGGCACCAAAGGAGCAAUCCGCUGAAAGAUGAGCUCGCGUCCAAUUAGGUAGUUGGUGGGGUAACGGCCCACCAAGCCGACGAUUGGUAGCCGGACUGAGAGGUUGAACGGCCACAUUGGGACUGAGACACGGCCCAGACUCCUACGGGAGGCAGCAGUGGGGAAUAUUGGACAAUGGGGGAAACCCUGAUCCAGCGACGCCGCGUGAGUGAAGAAGUAUUUCGGUAUGUAAAGCUCUAUCAGCAGGGAAGAAAAUGACGGUACCUGACUAAGAAGCUCCGGCUAAAUACGUG
rnacentral:rRNA from 1 species